rnacentral:rRNA from 1 species
AAUAUGUAUUUAGAUUGAAGGAAGAAAUAAUUUUUAGAAAGAUUUGAUUAACAAUAAUAAUUAAUAAAAUUAUUUAUUUAAAAUUUAAGUUAAAUUAUUAAAAAGAAUAAAUAGAAUAAAAUUAUUAAGAAAGUAAUGUAAAUGAAUUUAUAGAUUAUAAAAAAAGAAUAUUUUAUUUAUUAUACCUUUUGUAUCAGGGAUUAUUAAAUUAUAAGUUAAUGAUUUUAGGUUUCUCGAAGUUUAAAGAGUUAAUAAUUUAAUUUAGUUAAUGUUAAAUAAUUAUUAUAAAUAAAUUAUUAGAGAAAAAAUUUUAGUCAAUUUAAAUGAUAUCUAGUUUUUAAGGAAAUAAGUUUAAUUUAGAUGUUAUAAUAUGUAAUAAAUUUUUAAAAAUUUGUUAAAGAUAUAAAGUUAAAAUUUUAUGGGAUAAGCUAUAAAAUUAAUUAAAAAUAUAAAAAAAUUGAUUUAAAAUAGUUAUAAUAUUUGAUUUUUUUAGGAUGUAUUUAAUAAUUUUUAAUAAAUUGAGUAAUGAUUUGUUUUUUUUUAAUUAAAAACUUAAAUAUAAAUUUGAAUUAAAAAAAUUUAAUAAUAAUGAUAAUAUAAGUAAAAAAUUAGUUAAUAAAGUUUAUAAGAGGAGAUAUUAUUUUAAAGAAUUAGGCAAAGAAUAAAAUUCACCUGUUUAAUAAAAACAUGGUUUUUAGAAUAUAAUUUAAAAUUGGUCCUGCUCAAUGAAAAAUUUAAAUAGCUGCAGUAAAUUGACUGUACAAAGGUAGCAUAAUCAAUUGCUUUUUAAAUGGAAGCUAGUAUGAAGGGGUUGAUGAAAUUUUAACUGUUUCAAAGUAAAUAAAAGAAUUUAUAAAUUAAGUGAUAAUUCUUAAAUAGAGUUAAGGGACGAGAAGACCCUAUAGAAUUUUAUAUAAAAAAAAUUAAGUAAUAUAUAAUUGUAUUUAUAUUUAAUUGGGAGGAUUGUUAAAUUUUAAAAACUUUAAUUAAAAAUAAAAUAUAAAUUGAUGAAUUAAAGAGUUGAAUUAUAAAAUAAGAAAGAAUUAAUUACCUUAGGGAUAACAGCGUAAUAUUUUUGGAGAGAUCAUAUUAAUAAAAAUGUUUGCGACCUCGAUGUUGAAUUAAGAUAAAAAUUAAAUGGAGAGAUUUAAUAUUUAAGUCUGUUCGACUUUUAAAAUCUUACAUGAUUUGAGUUUAGAUCGGUGUGAGCCAGAUCGGUUUCUAUCUUUAAUAAGGUAUUAAAUAUUUGUACGAAAGGACUUUAUUUAAUAAAGAUUUUAAGUUAAAAAGGUUAUUAUUAAAUUAAAAAAAAAUUAUUACUUUGACAGAUAAGUGUUUUAAAUUUAGAAUUUAAGAAUAUAUAAUUG